rnacentral:misc_RNA from 1 species
CAUUUCUAUUUUUUUUCAGUUGCAUAUAUUCUGAUGUUCUUAGAACUUAGUUACAUAAGACUUAAGGCUGGGGUUGAAUGGUAGUUUUGACUUUUGAAAGAACUAGAUGAUUGCCUUAUUGUUUGUCUUUGGAAAGUGGACCUUAUAGUUGUCUGAGUUCUCUAGUCAUGUGAUAUCUAUUGAUUGCCUUCUAGCUUAUCAUGACUUGUUAUUCAUUUACCCAAGGAUAAAAA